CCUGAGAAACCCAAAAGAUCGAAUGGGGAGAUUCAUCGUCAGCUCAUUUUAUAUAUAUGCUAGUUAUGAUAUGGGUUACUACUUGUAGUAUUGCCUGUACAUUCUUGUAUAUUUAAGUGUAAGAUGUUGUCGGCGUGCACUUCUCCCCUAGUAGGACGUCGCGACCCGUUGAGUUGUUGUUGGUCUACGGCCCAAGUGGAAGCUUUUAAUGAAUUUUAUUCAUUGAAAACUCUUGGUGUUACCUGACUGGCGCUCGUCGGUAUUCGCAUGGUAUUGAGCCGCAUAUUAUAUGCGUCCAUAUCUGUCGCAAGCGAGGUUAGUUACUGAUAGUGCGGACCUAGUGCCGUCGUUGGUGCUAACCAGCUGUUGGUUGUGCAGAAUUCUAGGACUGGCUCGUUGAAAUACCGGUCAGCGAUGCUACUGCUUUGGG
rnacentral:rRNA from 1 species